AUUGAACGCUGGCGGCAGGCCUAACACAUGCAAGUCGAGCGGCAGCGGGAAAGUAGCUUGCUACUUUUGCCGGCGAGCGGCGGACGGGUGAGUAAUGCCUGGGGAUCUGCCCAGUCGAGGGGGAUAACUACUGGAAACGGUAGCUAAUACCGCAUACGCCCUACGGGGGAAAGCAGGGGACCUUCGGGCCUUGCGCGAUUGGAUGAACCCAGGUGGGAUUAGCUAGUUGGUGCGGUAAUGGCUCACCAAGGCGACGAUCCCUAGCUGGUCUGAGAGGAUGAUCAGCCACACUGGAACGGAGACACGGUCCAGACUCCUACGGGAGGCAGCAGUGGGGAAUAUUGCACAAUGGGGGAAACCCUGAUGCAGCCAUGCCGCGUGUGUGAAGAAGGCCUUCGGGUUGUAAAGCACUUUCAGCGAGGAGGAAAGGUUGGUAGCUAAUAACUGCCAGCUGUGACGUUACUCGCAGAAGAAGCACCGGCUAACUCCGUGCCAGCAGCCGCAGUAAAAC
rnacentral:rRNA from 1 species